UACGUAGGGUGCGAGCGUUAAUCGGAAUUACUGGGCGUAAAGGGUGCGCAGGCGGUUCUGCAAGUCAGGCGUGAAAGCCCCGGGCUUAACCUGGGAAUGGCGCUUGAAACUACAGGACUGGAGUAUGGCAGAGGGAGGUGGAAUUCCACGUGUAGCGGUGAAAUGCGUAGAGAUGUGGAGGAACACCGAUGGCGAAGGCAGCCUCCUGGGCCAAUACUGACGCUCAUGCACGAAAGCGUGGGGAGCAAACGGG
rnacentral:rRNA from 1 species